rnacentral:rRNA from 1 species
AGAGUUUGAUCCUGGCUCAGGACUAACGCUGGCGGCGUGCCUAAUACAUGCAAGUCGAACGAACUCUGGUAUUGAUUGGUGCUUGCAUCAUGAUUUACAUUUGAGUGAGUGGCGAACUGGUGAGUAACACGUGGGAAACCUGCCCAGAAGCGGGGGAUAACACCUGGAAACAGAUGCUAAUACCGCAUAACAACUUGGACCGCAUGGUCCGAGCUUGAAAGAUGGCUUCGGCUAUCACUUUUGGAUGGUCCCGCGGCGUAUUAGCUAGAUGGUGGGGUAACGGCUCACCAUGGCAAUGAUACGUUGCCGACCUGAGAGGGUAAUCGGCCACAUUGGGACUGAGACACGGCCCAAACUCCUACGGGAGGCAGCAGUAGGGAAUCUUCCACAAUGGACGAAAGUCUGAUGGAGCAACGCCGCGUGAGUGAAGAAGGGUUUCGGCUCGUAAAACUCUGUUGUUAAAGAAGAACAUAUCUGAGAGUAACUGUUCAGGUAUUGACGGUAUUUAACCAGAAAGCCACGGCUAACUACGUGCCAGCAGCCGCGGUAAUACGUAGGUGGCAAGCGUUGUCCGGAUUUAUUGGGCGUAAAGCGAGCGCAGGCGGUUUUUUAAGUCUGAUGUGAAAGCCUUCGGCUCAACCGAAGAAGUGCAUCGGAAACUGGGAAACUUGAGUGCAGAAGAGGACAGUGGAACUCUAUGUGUAGCGGUGAAAUGCGUAGAUAUAUGGAAGAACACCAGUGGCGAAGCGGCUGUCUGGUCUGUAACUGACGCUGAGGCUCGAAAAGUAUGGGUAGCAAACAGGAUUAGAUACCCUGGUAGUCCAUACCGUAAACGAUGAAUGCUAAGUGUUGGAGGGUUCCGCCCUUCAGUGCUGCAGCUAACGCAUUAAGCAUUCCGCCUGGGGAGUACGGCCGCAAGGCUGAAACUCAAAGGAAUUGACGGGGGCCCGCACAAGCGGUGGAGCAUGUGGUUUAAUUCGAAGCUACGCGAAGAACCUUACCAGGUCUUGACAUACUAUGCAAAUCUAAGAGAUUAGACGUUCCCUUCGGGGACAUGGAUACAGGUGGUGCAUGGUUGUCGUCAGCUCGUGUCGUGAGAUGUUGGGUUAAGUCCCGCAACGAGCGCAACCCUUAUUAUCAGUUGCCAGCAUUAAGUUGGGCACUCUGGUGAGACUGCCGGUGACAAACCGGAGAAAGGUGGGGAUGACGUCAAAUCAUCAUGCCCCUUAUGACCUGGGCUACACACGUGCUACAAUGGAUGGUACAACGAGUUGCGAACUCGCGAGAGUAAGCUAAUCUCUUAAAGCCAUUCUCAGUUCGGAUUGUAGGCUGCAACUCGCCUACAUGAGGUCGGAAUCGCUAGUAAUCGCGGAUCAGCAUGCCGCGGUGAAUACGUUCCCGGGCCUUGUACACACCGCCCGUCACACCAUGAGAGUUUGUAACACCCAAAGUCGGUGGGGUAACCUUUUAGGAACCAGCCGCCUAAGGUGGGACAGAUGAUUAGGGUGAAGUCGUAACAAGGUAGCCGUAGGAGAACCUGCGGCUU